rnacentral:rRNA from 1 species
UAGGGAAUCUUCCACAAUGGACGCAAGUCUGAUGGAGCAACGCCGCGUGAGUGAAGAAGGUUUUCGGACCGUAAAGCUCUGUUGUUGGUGAAGAAGGAUAGAGGUAGUAACUGGCCUUUAUUUGACGGUAAUCAACCAGAAAGUCACGGCUAACUACGUGCCAGCAGCCGCGGUAAUACGUAGGUGGCAAGCGUUGUCCGGAUUUAUUGGGCGUAAAAGCGAGCGCAGGCGGAAGAAUAAGUCUGAUGUGAAAGCCCUCGGCUUAAACCGAGGAA